UACGUAGGGUGCGAGCGUUGUCCGGAAUUAUUGGGCGUAAAGAGCUCGUAGGCGGUUUGUCGCGUCUGCUGUGAAAACCCGAGGCUCAACCUCGGGCCUGCAGUGGGUACGGGCAGACUAGAGUGCGGUAGGGGAGAUUGGAAUUCCUGGUGUAGCGGUGGAAUGCGCAGAUAUCAGGAGGAACACCGAUGGCGAAGGCAGAUCUCUGGGCCGUAACUGACGCUGAGGGGCGAAAGCGUGGGGAGCGAACAGG
rnacentral:rRNA from 1 species